AGAGUUCGAUCCUGGCUCAGGAUGAACGCUGGCGGCGUGCUUAACACAUGCAAGUCGAACGAGAAAUGAAGACGGAAACCUUCGGGCGGAAGGCUUCAUUUCGAGUGGCGGACGGGUGAGUAACGCGUGGGUAACCUGCCUCAUACAGGGGGAUAACAGUUGGAAACGACUGUUAAUACCGCAUAAGACCACAGCACCGCAUGGUGCGGGGGUAAAAACUCCGGUGGUAUGAGAUGGACCCGCGUUCGAUUAGCCAGUUGGCGGGGUAACGGCCCACCAAAGCGACGAUCGAUAGCCGAUCUGAGAGGAUGACCGGCCACAUUGGGACUGAGACACGGCCCAAACUCCUACGGGAGGCAGCAGUGGGGAAUAUUGCACAAUGGGGGAAACCCUGAUGCAGCGACGCCGCGUGAGUGAAGAAGUACUUCGGUAUGUAAAGCUCUAUCAGCAGGGAAGAAAAUGACGGUACCUGAGUAAGAAGCCCCGGCUAACUACGUGCCAGCAGCCGCGGUAAUACGUAGGGGGCAAGCGUUAUCCGGAUUCAUUGGGCGUAAAGCGCUCGUAGGCGGUCUGUUAGGUCGGGAGUUAAAUCCGGGGGCUCAACCCCCGCUCGCUCCCGAUACCGGCAGACUUGAGUUUGGUAGGGGAAGGUGGAAUUCCUAGUGUAGCGGUGGAAUGCGCAGAUAUUAGGAAGAACACCAGUGGCGAAGGCGGCCUUCUGGGCCAUAACUGACGCUGAGGAGCGAAAGCUAGGGGAGCAAACAGGAUUAGAUACCCUGGUAGUCCUAGCCGUAAACGAUGGACACUAGGUGUGGGGGAAUAUUUCUUCCGUGCCGCAGCUAACGCAUUAAGUGUCCCGCCUGGGGAGUACGGCCGCAAGGCUAAAACUCAAAGGAAUUGACGGGGGCCCGCACAAGCGGCGGAGCAUGCGGAUUAAUUCGAUGCAACGCGAAGAACCUUACCAAGGCUUGACAU
rnacentral:rRNA from 1 species